rnacentral:rRNA from 1 species
CCUACGGGAGGCUGCAGUGAGGAAUAUUGGUCAAUGGGCGCGAGCCUGAACCAGCCAAGUAGCGUGAAGGAUGACUGCCCUACGGGGUGUAAACUUCUGUUAUAAAGGAAUAAAGUGAGGCACGUGUGCCUUUUUGUAUGUACGUUAUGAAUAAGGAUCGGCUAACGCCGUGCCAGCAGCCGCGGUAAUACGGAGGAUCCGAGCGUUAUCCGGAUGUAUUGGGUUGAAAGGGAGCGUAGAGGGGUUGUUAAGUCAGUUGUGAAAGUUUGCGGCUCAACCGUAAAAUUGCAAUUUAUACUGGCAGUCUUGAGUACAGUUGAGGUCGGCGGCAUUCGUGGUGUAGCGG